UAUUUUUUAAUUCUGUAUAUAUAUUCUUCUUAUGGACUGACAAGUGAUAUUUUUAAACAGUUACAUUUCUUUUUGUCAAUUCAGCUAGUACAGAAACUGCUGUAUAUGCAAAGUAAGUAUUUUCAGCUACAGUAACACCCAAAGUUUGUAUGGACAAGAUAAGAGGACCACGAGGUGCUGAUUGUGAAGAAACAACACAUGGCCUAUAAAAAGAGAGACAUUGCUGCAAUCUAAUGCUGCACGCCACACACACUUGUAUUACUAUGUAAAGUGACUUUUUUGUCAUUUUUGUUGUAAUGUCGUUUAAUUGUACAAUUAUAACCUUAUUAAUUUGGAACAGCUGUCUUCACGUUAUUUUACUUUAACAAUUUGGUGCCGAAACCCGGGAGUUUGAAAGCGAUUAAGGACGGAGCCAGGAUUGGAACUAUGAGGACAGGAGACCACAGGCGCCAAAAAGCUAGUACAGAAACUGCUGUAUAUGCAAAGUAAGUAUUUUCAGCUACAGUAACACCCAAAGUUUGUAUGGACAAGAUAAGAGGACCACGAGGUGCUGAUUGUGAAGAAACAACACAUGGCCUAUAAAAAGAGAGACAUUGCUGCAAUCUAAUGCUGCACGCCACACACACUUGUAUUACUAUGUAAAGUGACUUUUUUGUCAUUUUUGUUGUAAUGUCGUUUAAUUGUACAAUUAUAACCUUAUUAAUUUGGAA